rnacentral:rRNA from 1 species
AGUGAACGCUGGCGGUAGGCCUAACACAUGCAAGUCGAACGGCAGCACAGUAAGAGCUUGCUCUUACGGGUGGCGAGUGGCGGACGGGUGAGGAAUACAUCGGAAUCUACUUUUUCGUGGGGGAUAACGUAGGGAAACUUACGCUAAUACCGCAUACGACCUACGGGUGAAAGCAGGGGAUCUUCGGACCUUGCGCGAUUGAAUGAGCCGAUGUCGGAUUGGCUAGUUGGCGGGGGAAAGGCCCACCAAGGCGACGAUGCGUAGCUGGUCUGAGAGGAUGAGCAGGCACACUGGAACUGAGACACGGUCCAGACUCCUACGGGCGGCAGCAGUGGGGAAUAUUGGACAAUGGGCGCAAGCCUGAUCCAGCCAUACCGCGUGGGUGAAGAAGGCCUUCGGGUUGUAAAGCCCUUUUGUUGGGAAAGAAAAGCAGCAGGUUAAUACCCCGCUGUUCUGACGGUACCCAAAGAAGAAGCACCGGCUAACUUCGUG